rnacentral:rRNA from 1 species
GUGGGGAAUAUUGCGCAAUGGGGGAAACCCUGACGCAGCAACGCCGCGUGAGUGAUGAAGGCCUUCGGGUCGUAAAGCUCUGUCAGGUGGAAAGAACAAACUGGUCCUGAAUAGGGAUCGGUUAUGACGGUACCACCAAAGGAAGCACCGGCUAACUCCGUGCCAGCAGCCGCGGUAAUACGGAGGGUGCAAGCGUUGUUCGGAAUUAUUGGGCGUAAAGCGCGUGCAGGCGGCCCUGUAAGUCAGGUGUGAAAGACCUUAGCUCAACUAAGGAAAGUCACCUGAAACUAUAGGGCUUGAGUACGGGAGAGGAGAGUGGAAUUCCCGGUGUAGAGGUGAAAUUCGUAGAUAUCGGGAGGAACACCCGUGGCGAAGGCGACUCUCUGGACCGAUACUGACGCUGAGACGCGAAAGCGUGGGGAGCAAACAGGAUUAGAUACCCGAGUAGUCC